GCGACUCGCCUCUGUCCCUCGAUCUCCCUCUCCUCUUCCUCGAGAACUCCCUGUCUCUCUCCUGUCCAUCUCCCUCUCCCUCUCAGGCGUUGAAACAACAACGCCCAGGAUCCAAAUCAUGAGGUCCAGAGGGCAGCGGCUGCGCGCUGUGAUUGCAUCUUUGAAGCGACGCAGGGCUGUAGCUCUGUGGAUCAAUAACACGACUGCAUAGGAGCCGGCUACCCGCCUUUACAGCUCGAGGAUCUGAGAUCCAGGAAUUUGCUAGCAGUAAACCAUGUGGGCACUUAUGUUGUACCAUUUGCCGUGUUUACAAAGGGAAUUGGAGGCUCUGUGGUCAUUUCGACAUGCAUUAUGUAUUCCAUCAAUCUUGAAGUCAUCAAGAUGACUUUCUGUUCAUGCUAGUUGGACUGAUGAUUGAUUUGUACUCAAUCGCCCGAAAUGCUCUCCUCAUGAAGUGUAUCUACUGGUUGCUCCUGCUAAGUUGAUUUUUUUCGAUUCCUUUUGUGUAAACCUGGCGCACAAAGGAAACAAAUCUGUGCAAGUCUAUAUGUACUUCUACUUCUGUUGUCAUUUAUGCAUUUGGAUGCUUCUAGUAAAAAGGGUCACUCAUGUGUUUAAGAAGUUAGUUCGUGAUUCCAAAUGUGUGGAACGA